AUUGUAUGAUCGUUCUUUCGCUAUCCGCUUCUGUUUCAUAUUGAAUCGUUGUGGGGUUGGUGAACCUCGAUGAAAUAAAAAGUUGGCUUCCGAAUUGUCGUUUAAUUUUAAAUAAGAAUACAAUCCACUUAUUAAAAAAUUGAAAUGAACCAGCUUAAACUUAUGGUGGUGCUUUCGGUAGUGACAAGAAUGUUGUGUUGUAUUCUGAAUAUUGAGCAAUGGUGAUGCUUUUGGUCAUGACAAGAAUGUUGUGAUUUAUUCUGAAUAUUGAGAAAUGGUGAUGCUUUUGGUCAUGACAAGAAUGUUGUGAUUUAUUCUGAAUAUUGAGAAAUGGUGAUGCUUUUGGUCAUGACAAGAAUGUUGUGAUGUAUUCUGAAUAUUGAGCAAUGGUGAUGCUUUUGGUCAUGACAAGAAUGUUGUGAUGUAUUCUGAAUAUUGAGCAAUGGUGAUGCUUUUGGUCAUGACAAGAAUGUUGUGAUGUAUACUGAAUAUUGAGCAAUGGUGAUGCUUUUGGUCAUGACAAGAAUGUUGUGAUUUAUUCUGAAUAUUGAGCAAUGGUGAUGCUUUUGGUCAUGACAAGAAUGGUGUGAUGUAUUCUGAAUAUUGAGCAAUGGUGGUGCUUUCGGUAGUGACAAGAAUGUUGUGAUGUAUUCUGAAUAUUGAGCAAUGGUGAUGCUUUUGGUCAUGACAAGAAUGUUGUGAUUUAUUCUGAAUAUUGAGCAAUGGUGCAAAUUAAAAUAUGCCUUGUAAUGAUUUCCUCUUAUAAUCAAAAUGCUUUGGUCUUUUCUCGGAAUGGACUUUUGAAGCCUCAUACAUAACAAUUUCAGUAUAUGCUAAAUUUUUGAAAAAUUAUUUUUUAUUAUAUUUAUGCUCUUUGAUGUUGUUGGUAUUAUAAAUAUAUUGUAAAAUGUUUCUGAUAUGUUUUCAAUAUUGAACAAUGUUAUGUAAUAUGUAAAAUUUUGCCUGAAACUUUAAAGGUGAUAACUUCCAUUGAAUGUAGUGUACCCAUAUGUAUUAAUGAAGCCCAGAUAUUUUAAAUAAAUUUGUACUGUCCAUAUAUUUCUAAGUUUAAGCUUAUAUUAUUUGACUUAAUUAAAUAUCUAAUUUUAACAUUUUAACACAAUUUUAAUUUUAAAAAAUUCUUUCAUAAGUGAUCUUUGUUCACAUUCAUCUCUGAAAACAUUGACUGUUGAAUAUAUUUAAACAUCUGUUGUUUUUGUUGGAGAAGGAAUAAUAUCAUAUUGAAAGCAUGGAUUCAAUAAGAUUUUAGAACUACCACUCAUUGAUGGAUAUAAUAUUAUUUUUUAGUUGAAAUAGAUUAUUCUGCCUUAUGAUGAUUCACAACCUCUAUAGUAUGUGUUGAUAUUUAAUUUGUAUUUAUUCAUUAUAUAAUUAAAGUAAUAAAAGGAGAAUUUUACAUCAGAUUAUUA